GCUCCACCAGCAUACACCCGCGGAGGCCGGAAGAAAUACAGUCGUUCCAGAAAGACGUGUAGCCCUGGAGGCAGGAGUGAGAAGAAGAAAAAAAAACCACUUGCUUACUUAGCUGACGUGUUGGUUGGUGGACAUGCAAAGCGGGUAGCGGUACGUCCAGGUUAUAGAAGCGGGGAGUCACGUCGCAGCUGGCGGGUUGUCAAGAAAACUGGACAGGCUGGUGUGAACUUGAACAGCGGGUGAAACAGAAGCUUGGUGCAAAUCGUGGUGCGAUUACGACAGCGGUGCGUCCUUGGCGAGGAGGCCAGAUUUCUGCAGGAAACCCUCAACAAUAGGACCCUCCAGAGGUUCUGAAACCAGCUUCUCUACCAGCUCCUGAUAGAAAUAACAGACUAGCGACUGAAUCCUCCGUUAUGUUCACCAACCAGUUGCCAACUUUGUGUGCUGAGCAG